rnacentral:rRNA from 1 species
AUUGAACGCUGGCGGCAGGCCUAACACAUGCAAGUCGAACGAGUGGCGGACGGGUGAGUAAUGUCUGGGAAACUGCCCGAUGGAGGGGGAUAACUACUGGAAACGGUAGCUAAUACCGCAUACCAUCGGAUUUGCCCAGAUGGGAUUAGCUAGUUGGUGGGGUAAUGGCUAACAUAGGCGACGAUCCCUAGCUGGUCUGAGAGGAUGAACGGCCACCCUGGAACUGAGACACGGUCCAUACUCCUACGGUAGGCAGCAGUGGGGAAUAUUGCACAAUGUGCGCAAGCCUGAUGCAGCCAUGCGGCGUGUAUGAAGAGGGCCUUCGGGUUGUAAAGUACUUUCGGCGAGGAGGCGUUACUCACAGAAGAAGCACCGGCUAACUCCGUGCCAGCAGCCGCGGUAAUAC